rnacentral:tRNA from 2 species
GGGUGAGUAGCUCAGUUGGUUAGAGCCGCCGGCUCAUAACCGGCUGGUCGGGGGUUCAAGUCCCUCCUCACCCACCA